rnacentral:rRNA from 1 species
GAUGAACGCUGGCGGCGUGCCUAAUACAUGCAAGUCGAGCGAACGGACGAGAAGCUUGCUUCUCUGAUGUUAGCGGCGGACGGGUGAGUAACACGUGGAUAACCUACCUAUAAGACUGGGAUAACUUCGGGAAACCGGAGCUAAUACCGGAUGAUAUUUUGAACCGCAUGGUUCAAAAGUGAAAGACGGUCUUGCUGUCACUUAUAGAUGGAUCCGCGCUGCAUUAGCUAGUUGGUAAGGUAACGGCUUACCAAGGCAACGAUGCAUAGCCGACCUGAGAGGGUGAUCGGCCACACUGGAACUGAGACACGGUCCAGACUCCUACGGGAGGCAGCGUAGGGAAUCUUCCGCAAUGGGCGAAAGCUUGACGGAGCAACGCCGCGUGAGUGAUGAAGGUCUUCGGAUCGUAAAACUCUGUUAUUAGGGAAGAACAUAUGUGUAAGUAACUGUGCACAUCUUGACGGUACCUAAUCAGAAAGCCACGGCUAACUACGUG